AAGACAACUUUCGACAACGGAUACCUUGGCUCCCGUAACGAUGAAGAACGCAGCGAACUGCGAAACGUAGUGUGAAUUGCAGAAUUCCGUGAACCAUCGAAUCUUUGAACGCAUAUUGCGCUCAAGGCCUCGGCCAAGAGCAUGUCUGCCUCAGCGUC
rnacentral:rRNA from 1 species